UAGGAGACAGAGGCCGGUCGCGAUCGC
rnacentral:sRNA from 1 species